AGAAACUGGAACGAGCCAUGUUUGUUCGACUGGACAAGUUGGACCAGAAUCUUUCAGAUAUCAAGUCUUUGCUUUUAGGUCUUGUCCCACCACAAAGUGACUCUGAUGACUUCCUGUUAAAUCCUUGCCAGACCACAAAUGAUUUGGACGAUUUGUGCGUCAAGUUAAAAGACCAAGAAUACAAGAAGAAAACUCCUGCCGCAAGAUGCAUCCAAAGGUGUCUACAAAGAUGCUUUGUGAGUAUAUAGCAGACACCUUGAAGUAUGCCCCACAUCGAGGAACAAGGGUGGAGAAUGAGGAGACAUUACACGGGUGUACACAGGAAUCCAGUGUACACACAGACUAAAAUUGUAUUUGGCCUAAUACAUGUUUAAUGUUUCUUGUGAAAUGUUCAUGCAUAUUUUAAUAUUUAAAUAAGUGUCAAUGUUUU
rnacentral:lncRNA from 1 species